rnacentral:lncRNA from 1 species
UCUCAUGGUGGUUGCCCCCCACCACCAGGGAGACCGGAACAGUCUUAUGGCGGACUUGGGCCAGGUGGAGUCCAUUCAGAGCACGAGCCUCCAGGGGCGCGUCAAGAGUUUCUGUGGGAAUGCCGAGCUGGGACGCCAGGCGAGAGUCCAGGAAAUUCUCUUCAGCCCCAGAAUCCACCAGGGCUAGAAGAGGGAUAGGCUGACGCUGCCAACACAGGGUUAUGGCCACUUGGAGACGUUGUGGGGGCGAAGUAGUAGUACGGCUCACCAGCAGAUCCCCCGUCACUGGCGAGCCGGACCUUUUGGCGGACGGGCGGGGCAGAAGGCAAUGUAGUGACCCGGACGCCCACAAUACAGGCACAGGUUUGCUGACCGACGUUGUAACUUCUCAGACUCAGUGAGGUGGGCACGGCCGAUCUGCAUUGGCUCUGGGAGAGACUCCGGCGGGGGGUCCGGCUGAGUUCUGGGGCCUGGGGCACUUGGGGUUCUGGUGGGUCCUAGUACAGAGCGGGCGCUGCGUUCUCGCCUCCUUUCCCGGAGCCGGUUGUCAAUCUUAAUCGCUAAUGCGAUGAGGUGGUCUAGGUCUGGAGAGUCGUCACGAGUUGCCAGCUCGUCCUUUAGGGCCUCACCUAGCCCUUUGUAAAAGGCUCCCUGGAGCGCGCCGUCGUUCCAGGAGCUCUCUGCAGCCAGCGUCCGGAACUCCACCGCAAACUCUGCGACACUCCUUGUCCCUUGGGAGAUGGCCAUGAGGCGGUGGCUGGCGUUGUUUCCGCUUACUGGGUGGUCAAAGACCUUCCUCAUCUCUGCCACGAACGCCGCGUAGGACUCACAGGCACUGUCCUGGCGCCCCCAAACAGCCGUGCCCCACUCUCUCGCCUGUCCUGACAAUAACCCGAUGGUGUAGGCUAUUUUUGAACGAUCGGAGGCAUAGGAGAGAGGCUGCAUCUCAAAAACUAGUGAAACCUGAGUUAAAAAGGCCUGGCAGGAUCCUAACUCCCCCCUGUAACGUUCAGGUACAGGCACUACAGGUUCACGAAAGGGAGGUGGGACACUAACGCUAGCCAAGACAGGAUUAGCGGCUAACGCUGAGCCUGGGGGAGCAGUCUUAGCAAUUUGACCAGCCAACCCUCUUAACUGGGUGGUUAGUUCAGAGAUCUGAUUAAGCAUAACAUGAUUGCUACUGACCAGGGAACGCAACAAUUCAUCAUGUUGAGCUAACACGCAUUCCUGAUUAGCAAUAGCUUGUUGAAACGUGGUAGCGGGGGAGACUGCCUCCGCGCCAGUCUCUUUGUCUGCUGAGCUCAUCUUGGCUGGACCGUACUGUCACGGUUCAGGCACCGAGGCUCAAAUGCGGACAAAGAGACUCAAGUCAGAGCAGUUCAAUUAAACAGAUAUUUAUUUGGUCCCAAAAAUGCAAACAGAAAUAGGAAAACGGAACUAAGGUGGGCAGUAACAAUUAACAAAAGCGCUGUCUGAAAAACGCGAGACAGGAUCAGUAAUAAUUAACAAAAAGCGCUGACUGCAAAAACGCGAGACAGGGUCAGAACAAUUAACAAAAAGCGCUGUCUGCAAACGCGAGACAGGGUCAGAACAAUUAACAAAAAGCGCUGUCUGCAAAACGCGAGACAGGGUCAGAACAAUUAACAAAAAGCGCUGUCUGCAAAACGCGAGACAGGGUCGGGUACUACCAGAGCUAGCGAGAGAGCGAGUGAGCAGGCAGUCCGUGAUUUCCGACUGGAGGGGGAGAGGCAGGUGGUGAUGGCGUGAGGCGGCGUCCUGGACGGAGCUGGGAUGAAGAGCAGGAGAGCUGGGUACGCAGGCGGGAAGAGCAGGCGGAGUGGGCAAGGGAUCUUCAGGUUACGGUCCAGCGUCGGGUUGUGGGAAGCGUCCGGUUUUUAUGGCAGCGGGUGAAUGAAUGAAAGCGCUCCUCUCCCCGCCACACGGAUCGAUCCGCUGAUUAGAAAGUGGCUGCACCUGUCCGCCCUGAAG